CUUGAUCAGGACUUUAGGCUAUUUAUUCUAAAACAACAAUAUUUUCAAUUAUUUUGUCAAAAGAGUAAACAAUAGGUCCAAAUUGUGUUGCUUUAUAUAUAAAAAAGAAGAUGUGGUAUGAUUGCCAAUGAGACAAUUAUCCACAAAAGACCAAAAUGACACAGACAUUAACAACUAUAGGUCACUGUACGGCCUCCAACAAUGAGCAAAGCCCAUACAUUUAGUCUUGUUUUCUAUGUUGUGUCUCGGGUGUACUAUUUUUUGUUUGUCUUUUUCUUUUUAAGCCAUGACAUUGGUCAGUUUUUUUUUUUUUAUGAGUUUGAAUGUCCCUCUGGUAAUUUUCACCCCUCUUUUAUACUUGAUAUUAUCUUUCCUCAAAUCAUUUAUUCCACAUAAUUAUAACUUCUAGAAAUGCAACUCUACCCAGAUUCUUAAACAUUUACCGUUAUUUUACAUCAGAUAUUUUAUUAACAUUUAAGAGUGCACAUGCUGAAGUAUCACACCUGCUUUACUAAACAGGAUUAAAAAUCAUG
rnacentral:lncRNA from 1 species